UGGGGAAUAUUGCACAAUGGGCGAAAGCCUGAUGCAGCGACGCCGCGUGAGGGAUGACGGCCUUCGGGUUGUAAACCUCUUUCAGUAGGGACGAAGCGCAAGUGACGGUACCUGCAGACGAAGCACCGGCUAACUACGUGCCAGCAGCCGCGGUAAUACGUAGGGUGCGAGCGUUGUCCGGAAUUACUGGGCGUAAUGAGCUCGUAGGCGGUUUGUCACGUCGUCUGUGAAAUCCUAGGGCUUAACCCUGGGCGUGCAGGCGAUACGGGCUGACUUGAGUACUACAGGGGAGGCUGGAAGUUCUGGUGGAGCGGUGGAAUACACAGGUAUCAGGAAGAACACCGAUGGCGGAGGAAGGUCUCUGGGUAGUAACUGACGCUGAGGAGCGAAAGCAUGGGUAGCGAACAGG
rnacentral:rRNA from 1 species